AAUUCUCAACUCUCUUUGAUUUCUUCAAAGGCGAGCUUGGAUCUUGGAGGCUUUGCCGGCUGUGAAGUCGGCUCCUCUGAAAAGCAUUGGUAAAGACGUAUUGCAUGCCUCUGUAAUGGAGGUGUGUGCUGGCCUCUGUAAUGGAGGUUGGUAUCAGGUCGGCCUUUCGGUGUGAUAAUGAUCACCGUGGCUAGCUGGCUAUUAAUGUCUAUGCCUUACUUGCUACUUUUUCCAUUGACUUGGAAAAAAGCACUUUGACCA
rnacentral:misc_RNA from 1 species